rnacentral:misc_RNA from 1 species
UCUCGGCUUAUCACCGGCAGUCCCCCUAGAGUGCCCAACUGAAUGAUGGCAACUAAUGGCAAGGGUUGCGCUCGUCGCGGGACUUAACCCAACAUCUCACGACACGAGCUGACGACAGCCAUGCAGCACCUGCGUUACGGUUCCCUUUCGGGCACACCUCCAUCUCUGGAGGCUUCCGUACAUGUCAAGGGUAGGUAAGGUUUUUCGCGUUGCAUCGAAUUAAUCCACAUAAUCCACCGCUUGUGCGGGUCCCCGUCAAUUCCUUUGAGUUUUAACCUUGCGGCCGUACUCCCCAGGCGGGGCACUUAACGUGUUAACUCCGGCACCGAGGGACUCAAAACCCCCAACACCAAGUGCCCAUCGUUUACGGCGUGGACUAC